AUUGUAACGGACCUAUUGUGUAUCGACCUGUAUUGCGCCCCGGAACCUUUUAUUUACGUUUCACCCGGUACCCUUUUAGAGGCGCACAGCAGCAUUCAUGGCGAUGCGUGUCUCGCACGUAGUCGCGUCGAAAACGUAAGUUUAAUGUCUUAAUGCCUGUAUUUUGGUUAUAUAAAUGAUGGGUUCCUAUUGAAACGUUUUCUGUGUAUUUUUUAUAGUUCAUGUGUCUUAUACCGGUCGCAUUUCUAUGCCGUUUUAUGUCCGUAAAUAGUGUAUGAAGCAAGCUAACGGCCAGACCCAUAAAUGUCCGGUGAAUUCAACUUUUCCCGCUCAAUUUACCGUCGUCUUACACCCUUGGCAAGCGGAGCGAGGUAUGUUGUUUUAUUGUAUGCCUUUAGUGUGAUUAUGUUUAAUUUUGGUGUCUUUAUGUAAGUUAAGCAGAUAAUGCACAUGUUUAAGUUUUCUUUGUUGUCCUGAAAUAUGUUUUCUGUCAUUCUUUUAUUUGUGUAAAAGUGCAACCAUUUUAUGUUACUUUUUCUAGUUUCACGGUGCCAUAGCAACAAA
ensembl:lncRNA